rnacentral:rRNA from 1 species
AUUUAUUAGAUAAAAAAACCAAUGCCCUUCGGGGCUCCUUGGUGAUUCAUAAUAACUCAACGAAUCGCAUGGCCUUGCGCCGGCGAUGGUUCAUUCAAAUUUCUGCCCUAUCAACUUUCGAUGGUAGGAUAGUGGCCUACCAUGGUCUCAACGGGUAACGGGGAAUUAGGGUUCUAUUCCGGAGAGGGAGCCUGAGAAACGGCUACCACAUCCAAGGAAGGCAGCAGGCGCGCAAAUUACCCAAACCCAACACGGGGAGGUAGUGACAAUAAAUACUGAUACAGGGCUCUUUUGGGUCUUGUAAUUGGAAUGAGUACAAUCUAAAUCCCUUAACGAGGAACAAUUGGAGGGCAAGUCUGGUGCCAGCAGCCGCGGUAAUUCCAGCUCCAAUAGCGUAUAUUAAAGUUGUUGCCGUUAAAAAGCUCGUAGUUGAACCUUGGGUCGGGCCGCUCUGUCCUCCUAAUCGAGCGCACGGAGUCGGUCGGACCUUUCCUUCUGGGGAGCCCGAUGCCCUUUACUGGGCGUCGCGGGGAACCAGGACUUUUAC